rnacentral:rRNA from 1 species
GCUUAGAGUUUGAUCCUGGCUCAGAUUGAACGCUGGCGGCAUGGCUAAAACAUGCAAGUCGAACGCGAAAGGGUCUUCGGAGGUGAGUAGAGUGGCGAAAGGGCGAGUAAUGCAUUUCUACCUUGCCCCAAGGUGGGGGAUACCGUCGAAAACUCGGAUGAAUCCCCCAUGGGGCCCCUUGAUCCGAGGGGUUCUGUGGCUGGAGGUUACACCUUGCUAUCGGGAUGUUUCCUAUGUACUUGUUCGUGAGGUCAAGGAUCGCCAACGCGAAUACGGGUAUGUGGUGUGACAUCACGACUGACACCCUGCCGAGAGACAUACUGCACGGAGUCCUACCGAAUGUUGCACUAUGCAAUAUUCCGUGAUGCACCAAUGCCUGAUGGAGCAUUGCCCUUCGCAGAAUGAAACCUGUUGUGGUGUUUUCUUAUGUCAGGGGCUACCCCCUUCUGA